UACGAAGGGUGCAAACGUUGCUCGGAAUUAUUGGGCGUAAAGCGCACGUAGGCGGCUUGGCAAGUCGGAUGUGAAUCCCUCGGCUACAACCGAAGGAAGUGCAUCCGAAACUGCCGAGCGUUGAGUGACUUAAGAGGGAUCGCGGAAUUCCCGGUGUAGAGGUGAAAAUUCGUAGAUAUCGGGAGGAACACCAGUGGCGAAGGCGGCGAUCUGGGAAGAUACUGACGCUGAGGUGCGAAAGCGAUGGGGAGCAAACAGGGAUUAAGAUGAUCCUACGUA
rnacentral:rRNA from 1 species